rnacentral:rRNA from 1 species
GCUGUCGUCAGCUCGUGUCGUGAGAUGUUGGGUUAAGUCCCGCAACGAGCGCAACCCCCUUUCUUAGUUGCUAACAGGUUAUGCUGAGAACUCUAAGGAUACUGCCUCCGUAAGGAGGAGGAAGGUGGGGACGACGUCAAGUCAUCAUGGCCCUUACGCCUAGGGCUACACACGUGCUACAAUGGGGUGCACAAAGAGAAGCAAUACUGCGAAGUGGAGCCAAUCUUCAAAACAUCUCUCAGUUCGGAUUGUAGGCUGCACCU